GCCCCCGUAGACCAUGGCGGUCGCCUCAACUCAAUGAAGCAUCGUUGGACGUGUUCAAUGAGGAGACGGAGGUUCGAUUCCUCCCGGGGGCU